rnacentral:lncRNA from 1 species
UAGUGUUCACCUGGUUGGAAGGAUGAGAGGGAGAUGAGAGAGAGAGAGAGUUCGGAAGAGAGAGAGGUGAGAGUUCAGAUGAGAGAGAGAGGUGAGAGUUCGGAUGAGAGAGAAAGCAGCUUAGAAGGAUGUGAGAGAAAGCGGUAUUCAGCUGGAUGGUGAAAACUUCAUAUAUUACUAAUAAUGCAUCCAAACAACAUUUGAAAUUUAAUUUUUUUAAAAAUUUAUUGGUACAACCACACAAGAAAAUUCAAUUGAAUCAAAUUCUACGGAAUUCAUUUCCUAUAGAAUCUAAUUGUUAGAAUAUGAUUCAUGCAAUGAGUUUCAAUUCUAGGGAAACAAACCGGCCCUAAGAUUAUUUGGAAGCUGCUCAAUCGCCGAACUGGAGAGUCUGCUAGGGAGUCCUAGUUGGUGGUUACUGUACCU